AUUGAACGCUGGCGGCAUGCCUUACACAUGCAAGUCGAACGGCAGCACGGGAGCAAUCCUGGUGGCGAGUGGCGAACGGGUGAGUAAUAUAUCGGAACGUGCCCAGUCGUGGGGGAUAACGUAGCGAAAGCUACGCUAAUACCGCAUACGAUCUAUGGAUGAAAGCGGGGGAUCGCAAGACCUCGCGCGAUUGGAGCGGCCGAUAUCAGAUUAGGUAGUUGGUGAGGUAAAGGCUCACCAAGCCGACGAUCUGUAGCUGGUCUGAGAGGACGACCAGCCACACUGGGACUGAGACACGGCCCAGACUCCUACGGAGGCAGCAGUGGGGAAUUUUUGGACAAUGGGCGCAAGCCUGAUCCAGCAAUGCCGCGUGCAGGAUGAAGGCCUCGGUUGUAACUAGCUUUGUACGGUACGAAACGGUAAGACGUCUAUACAGUUUGCUAAUGACGGUACCGUAAGAAUAAGACACCGGCUAACUACGUACG
rnacentral:rRNA from 1 species